GAAUGAAUUCGAGGCACCAAAUCCCAACAAUCUUCACCUCGACUCGACAUUCAGCCUCCACCUAACUCUAAGAGCUUCUGGAUGAUCUCGUCAUUAUGCCCUAGGGCAAAUUCUUGGCUGCUCAUGGAUGAACAAAUAUGGGAGUCGAGCCAAGCCACUCAAUCUCAUCUCCAUCGUGUGCUAUGACCCACUUGACCUA
rnacentral:lncRNA from 1 species